GGGAAGAGCAGAAAUACGUCAAGCUGUCUGAGCUGACAUUCAAUGCUUUCUUGAAAGAAGUGUGUCUAAAAUUCAACAUACCAGAAAGCAGAAAGCCAGACAUUAAGGUGUAUGACCAGUCUGACACAGAAGUUGACUCAGAUGUUUUUGAAGAAUUAGUAAAGGAGUCACCUGGAACUUUCAGAAUCAUGCUGGGCAAUGGACUUGAUACCUCUCAUUCAUCAUCAUGCUCGGGUACAUCUGAUGACACCAUCAUUCUGAAUUUCACUGUGUGUGACGAUGUUGAAGAAGUAGCGGCUGGCGAAGGAAGCCAG